GCCAGUCAUGGUGGCACAUGCCUGUGCUCCCAGCUACUCAGGAGGCUGAGGUGGGAGGAUCACCUGAGCCAAGGAGAUCGAGACUGCAGUGACCUGUGAUCACACCACUGCACUCCAGCCUGGGUGACAGAGCAAUGAGACCUUGGCUCAUAAAAACAAAAAAGGCUGGGCACAGUGGCUCACGCCUGUAAUCCCAGAAUUUUGGGAGGCCGAGGUGGGCAGAUCACAAGGUCAGGAUGUUCAAGACCAGCCUGGCCAACAUGGUGAAACCCCGUCUCU
rnacentral:sRNA from 1 species